GACGAACGCUGGCGGCGUGCCUAAUACAUGCAAGUAGAACGCACAGUUUAUACCGUAGCUUGCUACACCAUAGACUGCGAGUUGCGAACGGGUGAGUAACGCGUAGGUAACCUGCCUGGUAGCGGGGGAUAACUAUUGGAAACGAUAGCUAAUACCGCAUAAUAUUAAUUAUUGCAUGAUAAUUAAUUGAAAGGUGCAAUUGCACCACUACCAGAUGGACCUGCGUUGUAUUAGCUAGUAGGUGAGGUAACGGCUCACCUAGGCGACGAUACAUAGCCGACCUGAGAGGGUGAUCGGCCACACUGGGACUGAGACACGGCCCAGACUCCUACGGGAGGCAGCAGUAGGGAAUCUUCGGCAAUAGACGAAAGUCUGACCGAGCAACGCCGCGUGAGUGAAGAAGGUUUUCGGAUCGUAAAGCUCUGUUGUAAGAGAAGAACGGGUGUGAGAGUGGAAAGUUCACACUGUGACGGUAUCUUACCAGAAAGGGACGGCUAACUACGUG
rnacentral:rRNA from 1 species